GCCCAGGUGGUGAAAUUGGCAGACACGCUAGCUUCAGGUGCUAGUGGCCGCAAGGCCGUGGAGGUUCAAGUCCUCUCCUGGGCACCA
rnacentral:tRNA from 1 species